rnacentral:lncRNA from 1 species
GGUGCCUGCACUUUUGACGCCGAAGAAGGAUGGGAGUUGGCGUAUGUGUGUGGACAGCCGUGCGAUCAACAGGAUAACGGUAAAAUACUGGUUUCCCAUACCCCGUUUGAAUGAUAUGCUCGACAUGUUAGAAGGAGCCAAGGUCUUCUCCAAAAUUGACUUACGAAGCGGCUACCAUCAAAUCCGGAUUCGCCCUGGUGAUGAGUGGAAGACGGCAUUCAAGACGAAGGAUGGGUUAUAUGAGUGGAUGGUCAUGCCUUUUGGCCUAUCCAAUGCACCGAGCACCUUCAUGAGAAUAAUAAAUCAGGUACUAAAAUCAUUUAUUGGAAAGUUCGUCGUCGUCUACUUUGAUGAUAUUUUGAUCUAUAGUCGCAAUGAAAUUGAGCAUAAGAAGCACUUGAGAGCAGUUUUGCUUGCUUUGCGGGAGAAUUAGUUGUCUGUUAAUCUUAAGAAGUGUCAUUUCGUUACAAAACGCUUGGUGUUCCUGGGAUUUGUUGUUGGGGCUGAUGGCAUACAGGUUGAUGAAGAGAAGGUAAAGGCAAUACGGGAGUGGCCGAUUCCUACAAAUGUUAGCCAAGUCCGCAGCUUUCAUGGGUUAGCGACAUUCUAUCGGAGUUUCAUUCAGAACUUCAGUACCAUCGUCGCUCCCAUCACCGAAUGCAUGAAGAAGGGCCAAUUUCAAUGGAUGGAGCAGCAACAAGCAAGUUUCGAACUGAUAAAAGAAAAGCUAACUUCUGCACCAGUACUCGCAUUACCGAGUUUUGAGAAGCUAUUUGAAGUGGAGUGUGAUGCUUCUGUGGUCGGCAUAGGGGCUGUUUUGACCCAAGAAGGACGGCCCGUGGAGUACUUCAGUGAAAAACUUAGUGAAGCACGGCAAAAAUGGACAACCUACGAGCUAGAGUUCUAUGCCAUCAUCCGGGUGUUGAAGCAUUGGGAGCAUUACCUUAUUCAAAAAGAAUUUGUUCUGUACAGCGACCAUCAAGCCUUGAAGUACAUCAAUAAUCAGAACAAUUUGAACCGAAUGCAUAUUCGGUGGGNNNNNNNNNNNNNNNNNNNNGUUGAAGCAUUGGAAGCAUUACCUUAUUCAAAAAGAAUUUGUUCUGUACAGCGACCAUCAAGCCUUGAAGUACAUCAAUAAUCAGA